CAUCAUGGCCGCUAAGUCAGACGGGAGGCUGAAGAUGAAGAAGAGCAGCGACGUGGCGUUCACCCCGCUGCAGAACUCGGACCAUUCGGGCUCGGUGCAAGGACUGGCUCCAGGUUUGCCGUCGGGGACCGGAGCUGAGGACACGGAGGCGGCGGGAGGCGGCUGCUGCCCAGACGGCGGCGGUUGCUCACGCUGCUGCUGCUGCUGCGCGGGGAGCGGCGGCUCGGCGGGCUCGGGCGGCUCCAGCGGCGGCGGCCCGGGCGGCGGGGCGGGCUCGGCGGCGCUGUGCCUGCGCCUGGGCAGGGAGCAGCGGCGCUACUCGCUGUGGGACUGCCUCUGGAUCCUAGCCGCCGUGGCCGUGUACUUCGCGGAUGUUGGAACGGACAUCUGGCUCGCUGUGGACUACUACCUGCGCGGCCAGCGCUGGUGGUUUGGGCUCACCCUCUUCUUCGUGGUUCUGGGCUCGCUCUCUGUGCAAGUGUUCAGCUUCCGCUGGUUUGUGCACGAUUUCAGCACCGAGGACAGCGCCACGACCACCGCCUCCACCUGCCAGCAGCCUGGAGCGGAUUGCAAGACCGUGGUCAGCAGUGGGUCUGCAGCCGGGGAAGGCGAGGCUCGUCCUUCCACGCCGCAGAGGCAAGCAUCCAACGCCAGCAAGAGCAACAUCGCCGCCACCAACAGCGGAAGCAACAGCAACGGGGCCACCAGGACCAGCGGCAAACACAGGUCUGCGUCCUGCUCCUUCUGCAUCUGGCUCCUGCAGUCACUCAUCCACAUCUUGCAGCUCGGGCAAGUCUGGAGGUAUUUGCACACAAUAUACUUAGGUAUCCGGAGCCGGCAGAGCGGGGAGAGCAGUAGGUGGCGGUUUUACUGGAAGAUGGUGUACGAGUAUGCAGAUGUGAGCAUGCUGCACCUGCUGGCCACCUUUCUGGAAAGUGCGCCACAACUGGUCCUGCAGCUCUGCAUAAUUGUACAGACUCACAGCUUACAGGCCCUCCAAGGUUUUACAGCAGCAGCCUCCCUUGUGUCCUUGGCUUGGGCCCUAGCCUCCUACCAGAAGGCUCUUCGGGACUCCCGAGAUGACAAAAAGCCUAUCAGCUACAUGGCUGUCAUCAUCCAGUUCUGCUGGCAUUUCUUCACCAUUGCUGCCAGGGUCAUCACAUUCGCCCUCUUUGCCUCGGUUUUCCAGCUGUAUUUUGGGAUAUUCAUUGUCCUCCACUGGUGCAUCAUGACCUUCUGGAUUGUCCACUGUGAGACAGAAUUCUGUAUCACCAAAUGGGAAGAGAUUGUGUUUGACAUGGUGGUGGGUAUCAUCUACAUCUUCAGUUGGUUCAAUGUCAAGGAAGGCAGGACACGCUGCAGGCUGUUCAUUUACUAUUUUGUAAUCCUUUUGGAAAAUACAGCCUUGAGUGCACUCUGGUACCUCUACAAAGCUCCCCAGAUUGCGGAUGCAUUUGCCAUCCCUGCAUUGUGCGUGGUUUUCAGCAGCUUUUUAACAGGUGUCGUUUUUAUGCUGAUGUACUAUGCCUUCUUCCAUCCCAAUGGGCCCAGAUUUGGGCAGUCACCAAGUUGUGCUUGUGACGACCCUGCCACUGCCUUCUCUAUGCCUCCAGAAGUAGCCACAAGCACACUACGGUCCAUCUCUAACAACCGCAGUGUUGCCAGUGACCGUGAUCAGAAAUUUGCAGAGCGGGAUGGAUGUGUACCUGUGUUUCAGGUGAGACCAACUGCACCACCUACUCCAUCAUCUCGACCACCGCGGAUUGAAGAAUCAGUCAUUAAAAUUGACCUGUUCAGGAAUAGAUAUCCAGCAUGGGAGAGACAUGUGUUGGACCGAAGCCUGAGAAAGGCCAUUUUAGCCUUUGAAUGUUCCCCAUCUCCUCCAAGGCUGCAGUACAAAGACGAUGCCCUUAUUCAGGAGAGGCUGGAAUAUGAAACCACUUUAUAAAACACAAAGAACCGUAAUGUCCAUAUAAAGGGGUAACAGCAGGGCUGAGGCAAUAAUGACACCUUAUCCAAGAGUAGGGCAAUGAGCUAUAUGUUCUUAGUCCAAACAUUGUCACGGUAUGGUUUGAUCUUCCAUCAGCUGACUGCCUGCUGCCGGUGAGCAUUCAAGCCAGUAGUGCUGAGAGUUUCUUACUCCGCUGAAAGGGGCGAUGUCAGCUUAGUAUGACUGUUGCUACAAAUUCCUCCAGCACAGGCUUGGGGCACAUUCACUGGAGGAUAACAUUAUUGUGAGGAAAUGUUGCCUCUAAUCAUUAGGGUAUUUUAAUGGAGUUUACUAAUCUUUGCAUAAAUAUGUUCAUACCACCACCACCACCACCCCUCUAUCAAAGGAGUUAAGGUGGAGCUGGAGAGAUGACUCAGUAGUUAAGAGCACUGACUGCUCUUGCAAAGAACCCAGGCUUGAGCCCCAGCAUCCAUUUGAUAGUUCACUACAACUCUAAUUCCAGAAUAUCCAAUGCCCAUUUUUGGCCUCCUCAGGCACUGCACUCACAUGGUGCACAGACAUAUAUGCAGGCAAAAUACCCAUACACAUAAAAUAAAAAUAAAUCUCCAAAAACAAAACAAAACAAAAACAAAAAAAAGUUUAGGUGAUUUCCUUGAUGCAAAGCUCACAACAGACUCCAAGAAGAAAGCAACAUGCUUGGAAUGACCCUAGAAACCAUUCUCUCCUUUGCAAACCAGUAGCAUCAAUGACAAAACCUGUGCAGUGGACAGCAAGACUCAAGUGUUUACACUGAUACUAGCAUCGAUGGGAUGAUUCUUUUUCUACGCAUUUCAGGAUUUGUUUUUUACUUUUAAGUUUUGCAGAUGAGAACAUUCUUUAUGACAGAAAUCCUAUGCAGCACAUGUAUGGCUUUUGAAGAGACCAAGGAGCUCAAUAUUCAUCCGUGAUGUAAAUUAAAUGCUAAUCAUGAUUCAGUAUUCAAUUGCAAAAAUAAAAUUUAUAUACAAAGAGCCAUGGCGGGAGGGACAGAAUGAGAAUCAGAUUCUCAGGUGUGUGCAUCUCCUAUUGAAAUACACCCACAAAGCCACGGUCGAGAAAAAGGGACUGUUUCCAGGUCUGUUUCUAGGUGCAGGAUGAGCACGGGUCAGCAGGUGUGAUUCCGGAAACCACAUGCCACACCUUUCUAGUGCCAAACUUCGUUCAAUCACAGAACUGAUACGGUAUUCCCCCAGACUGAGAAUAAGUGGUGUCCCAAAACAGACAAGGACAGAAUAAUCAGGUUCUUGGCUGUAUACAGACUUACCCUCUUCCCAUCCAAGGUCAAAGCGAUGUGUCUACUAGAGACUUUGGGACACCUUUUAGCAAGCGAGUGCAUACAGAUGCAAUGUGUAUGCUAUCAAAAAUAAAAACUGCCUGGACUGCUUGAGGGCUUACCACUCCAUCAGCUAAGAUUUGUAUGUGAAUCAUCUGUAAAGUUGUGCUUUUACAAGCUUCUGAGUUUUAAAUACCUCCAUACAGCAAGUAAACAUUCCCGCUUUCUGUUCUUGGUGUCAUUGGUCAUGGUGCUUUUUGUUGCAUUAAAAGUGCCGGUCAAACUUUGAUAGUAUUUUUUUAUAGUUGGUGCAGAGUGGAAUAACUCAUGGAUUAUUUCAAUAUUUUUGUAAUAAAAAUAUAGGGUGUACAUAUAGGCAUCGUUGCUUUUUUAUAGACUUGGAAUUAUUUAAAAUACAUUAAUGUCAUAUUCACUUGGGAUGUCAGAAUCCGGUCUACAAAUCCAUCAGCCUGCCUCAGCAGAUGGAAAACACUUGUCUCUGGCAAGAUCACCUUACUUUUAGCAAUUUGAUGGCUCUGAGAAUCUGAGCAGGGGUGCUAUCAGAGUUUCAAGUGGGAAGGGAAGUGGCCUAACUAGAAAGGGCUGGUGAAGACUGGCCAAUGUCUCCCAGGAAAUCAAAGAUGUGAUUUCUUUCACCCACCCAUUAGAACAACCUGACCACAGUGGAAGAUGUCUUAAACUUCCUUGCCUGGUUUUAUACUAACCCAGCUGAUAUAUUAAAAAUUAGUCAAAUCACAAAAAAAGGACAGAAGACAGUCAGUUUAAUUUAAGUAUUCACUUAAAAUAGUUAAGAUCUAGAGCCACCACCUGAAAUGGAUGUACCAUCCAAAGACUGUGACUCCCAAAGUAACAUCCACAGGGAGAGAGAGGGCUCAACCUGGGACUUCUUUUGGUACAAAGCCCCAAAGUGAUUUUGUAAGACAAAUAAUUUUUAUCAGACAUAUUUCAUAAUACUCAAUGAUGUGUCCCUGCAAGUGAGAUUUCCACUACAACACUCUAAUCUUUUGUUCAAAUGAAGAAAUAUUACAUUGACACAAUAAGGUUCCAGGAAGACACUUGGCUUCUAGCAAAUGGUGAACACAUCCCAUUCCAGUGUUGAAGAAAAUCAUAAUAAUUUGGGCAGAUACUUCGCUGAUGUGCAGAACCAUGAAUCAUUAACUUCAUUAGUUCCAAGACAACUUUUAACUGAUGAACUCUGAAGACUGACCUUCCCAGAUGGACCUCAGCUUUGACUCUGUGAGUGGAUAACAGUUCCAAUGUAAUAGUGUCCAGCCAAACAACCCAACAGGAUCCACCACUCUUCUAUCAUAAACAUCUUGGAACUUAUUGAGUUUUACUGGAGAUGAAUUGCAGUUAAUUAAUCCAAUAGACGAUUCAAUCUUGCAAAUUCUUGACUUGUAAUAUUGUAAUCAAGCUUCUGGAAGAGACGACUCAGUUAAUGGGAAAGGAGAAGUUGGUUUAACACAAUGCCCUGAUGUGUCCAGGCCUGAAGAGACAGACCUCUGAGAAGCAGAGCUAACGAAAUUUUGUUACCUGGUCCCUCAACAUGAAUGUCAUUAGUGUCCAUGAUAUCCAUCUGCUAUCUUUUUUUUCCAGUAAGAACUGCUUUAAAAAAAAUCAGCCAAUGAAUUCCUGGGAGCUUUUAUAGCUCAGAGAAAUGGGUAUGGGUAAAGGGACCUACCUGCUUCAAGUGGAUUGAAGCCUACUUGUUUAGAAAUGAAAAAAUGUCUCUGUGAUCUGUGAUUAAUCCAUCUGUCUUGAGUACCUUUGCCACUUUCAAUUUGUUCCAUUUUCAGCAUUAUAAUAACCAAUGUGUGAAGCUUUCAUUUAUUACAAUUCAGCUUUAAAGGUUAAGUCUGCACAGGUGUAGUUAUAGAGAGAUUUGAUGCCUGCCUUGCUAUGUGAUAACAUUGCCAGCCCUAAACUAAUAUCCAUUUCCACAAGGAACCACUAGCCUAUAGCUUCUCAGAUCACAUGAAAUCUUGGUUAAAGAUGACCAACCAAAUGGCCUUAAUGCCUACAUUUUCAUUCAUAAGAAAACAGGACUGCUGAGAGUGUCUAAUCAUGAUCCCUUCCAUUUCUCUUCUUCAAAUAAAGGUGAAAAUGAAGGUGUCAGAAGUUCAGAUAUAGUUUCAGAGUAUGCAAGAGUCUAAUGUGUUUGUGGUCUUGUUGAAUUUUCUAUCCAAUCAUGUGACAUGGGUUUUAGAGGUUAGAUUUAGAUAAAAGAGUGAAUGUCACUAAGUGUAUCCAUUAUGCACUCGAAGGAAAAAAACAAAGAUGGAGCAAGGACCAUUGCGUUCCCUAGAUAAGCAUCUUGGUUGCUCUAUCAAAGAUUUCUCUCAGGCUUCUGAGAGGCAUUCCUGGUCAUCGGCUCUCAUGUCCAAGCAAGUCAUUCCUUAGAACUGUGUCUGUGUAUAACCACUAAAAUAGAAUGAUAGAAAGGCAACCUCCUACCAUGUAACUUAUUCUAACAUGCCAGGCAACCAGAACAAGCAAGUUUAAGGAACUGUUCAUGUCCUGAAUCUACAGCCUCCUGUGUAAUGUAUAAAUUGGUUAACUGCAGGGACAGAGGGGCAAUAACGGUCCUCUCUAUCAAGGCUCAGAAAAAAGGCCGUAGGAGUAUUGAGCACCAAGACAGAAGAUCUGUACCAAUGUAUAGACCCAAGAAAACCUGUCCAUCACUUGUCAGGAACAUUUGCCUAUUUUACAAACUAGACACAUAAACUAAUCUCUGUUGUUCCAUAAUUCUGGCAACUCACAUGUCUUAUUAUGAAAGGACAAGGCCAAGCUAACAUGGAAAGGUGGAGGUGACAUAGGAAACUUCAUAUCAAAACUGGCUCUGUCUAAGAAAACCUUCCUUCCAAUAGUUCUUUUCGAUUAGUGGCCUGUGGAAUGAUCUGUAUAUCAAUAGCUUCUGAUGGAUUAUAAGUCACUCUUGCUUAUGCUUAAAUGCAGACUACUUAAUUAUCUCUCUUUUACUUACAAUAAAAUUCAGGGUUACCAUGGCCUUACUCUUUAUGCCACUGUAAAUAGGUCAUAAUAUCAUAAGAGGCCCAUGUUCAAACAGACUUCACCCAACUAAAUCAGUAUCAUAGUUCUUGCAAAACAGUUUGAAUCUUGACUCUACCAGUCAGUCACCCUAUCUGUAUACCUAUUCCCAGAUUCAUAAUUCCUGUGAGAGUAAUUUUCAGAACAAUGGAGUAAAAAUCAAAGGACAGUUAUGCAAUUUUUCCACCUGGACAAAAAACCAUUAGAUGGUUGAUCGCCCCAAAAUUCUGACUUUUCCUCAUGACUGGGUUUCUUUUCAUUUGCCGGCUUCCAACAUUUGAAUUUUCCAGAUGACUGCUGAACCAUGUUCACCAAACCAAAGUAGACAGUGCGGCAUUUUUAAAAAGGGAAGUCUGUCCGCGUAAAUGCAAAUAUCCCUAAGAAAACUCUAGAAGUCGAUCAUUCAAGCAGCAUAUGUGGUUUUGUGGUAGCACACAUCUAGAAUCUGAGAAAGAGUCUAGAUGUUUGAAGCAUACAUUUUUUCCAUCUUCUCAUAUGAUAUGCAGAUGAACAAACUGUCAGGUGUUGCGAGAGGAACUUCAUUUUCUUGUGCAGACAUCUUUCGCUGGCAACAUGCAGCAGCUACGCGUCUCUUUGUUGUACAAAGAGAAAUCUCGCAAAAUAACCACAAACUAGUUUUAUUUACUUUCUAAAAAUGGUCGGCUGUUCUAUACAUUGCUGCAUGGGGAUAUCCUACGAUGAGGCCUUCCACUGCCUUUUCUGGGCAAGGAAACUUCUUUUAGCCUUGUCUGUGCAGUGUUUCUUCAUUUUGUCAUUGAUGUCCUGCUGUUCAUAAAUCUUAAACAUUUACAAAUGUAUCUGACAGAAGGAUUUAAAGGAAAUACAAAAUCUUUAACUUUUUAUUGUUCAAAUAGAAUAUUUCAUUUUAAGUCUCCCCUGUAAUACCUUAAAGCUAUAAUUGUUCAAAAAUUGUUUUAUCCAAAUACUUCAUGGUGAAUUUAAUGGCUACAGUCGGAGAAAAAGGCAAUUUUUCCAAAAUCAAACAAAUUAUCUAACUUUUGAGAUUCGAUUUACAGACAUCAUUCCAAUUAACAACUGUUUGCUGGUUACCAUGAAUAUUGUAAUGUUGGUUAUUUUCCCAGUUAAUCCCUGCCACAUUUCUCCACGAGAAAAAAAAGUCUACAAUGAAGGAAAUUCACCUUUCAGAAGGGGGGUUGAGGAUAUUCACCCUGCCCCAGAUUUGUUUCUUCCAGGUCGUCUUGGGAAGUUAGUCUUACUCCUCCUGGUAUGCUGGAUGGCAAAGAUGUUGAUCUCCUCAAAUAGAGCGCCUGGCUCAUCUACUGAUUUGACAUUUGGCAGAAAACACACAAAUUGUGUGACCUACUCCCCUCUAAGGGCACUUUAGCUGCACAGCUUGCUCUGAGUCACUUACUGGAGAGAUCUUGGAGAGGCAUUUGGCUAUGCAAACAUUAUGAGGGAUUUCUAAACACAGUGCAAACAUUCCCAAGUCCCUAAGUAGUAUUGUAAUCGUGUAUAAUUCUACAUUCAGAGCCAAGAAUAACAUCCUGAGGCAGAUGAUGAAAUUCAUUCUUGAAUCUUUCCUUUUCCUCGAAGUAGUCUCCCUGCACACCAAAGCCUCACCACUAAGCCAUGUUUGUCCACCUGCUAUGUUAUUUUGGACUCUUCCCAGAACUCAGGCUGUGGCCACAAACCUGGUGCCUAUGACCCUUCAAAUGCAGCUGACACGUACACGGAAGGUUUGGCUUUGUUUUCCUUUUGUCUUGAGACGUUGGAUGAUCAGUCUCUGCACCUGUACAUCACUGAGAGGAUGUCUGGCUAACAGUUGAUUGGCAAUCACACCCAGAAAACAAAAGCUGUUUCUUCUAUUGUCUCUGAUUCUGGGGUGAUUGAUAUAAAAUUUAUACAUUAAUAGAAAAACAGAAAUCUCUGUGUUGAAUAUUAUGACUGUUUAAAGAUAUUCUAUGAAACAAUAUUCUCUAUAGUGUGAAAUGUUACAUUCAGGUAUAGUGACACGAGGUCAUGUGGUCCAACAAUACCAGCAAAGAAACAAGGAAUCUGUACACAUCAAUCCUACUCUAUCUUUAUUCCUCCAAACUUACUUUGGCCUUAUUACCCUCCCCACUCCGACCCCACCCCCAUAUAAAAGAGUGAGGAUAUUUGUUUAUCUACCUCACAGGUAAAGUGUGUGAGGGCUGGUAAAGCACUUGGAUUAGAAACCACCGGGCCUCUCACUAAAUUGAAGAAACAUGGAAAACUUUGUGCAUAACAGGAAAGAGAAGGGUGGGUUGUCUUCAGUUGCCUGAAAAGCAGCAGCUACACCAGUGAAUACAGGAAAAACUAUGCCCUCAAAGUUCUAGGCAGAAAUUAAAAGCUUCCUAAUGAGAAGAGUUAAUCCCUCGUAUAGACACUAAGUAUCUCCAUAUAGAUGGACCACCUUCUCCUUAAACAAACUAAAUUUUACUGUUUAUAAACACAACUAGAAAACUUGGCCCUUUCUAAUCCCUGAGGACUUUGUAUGGAUGAUCCCAUUUUCCAGGCCCAUGAAGAGUUUCCAGUUCAGCCCUGGUGAGGCUAAUUGAUGCUCUGAAAAUUAACUCCUGGAAGAUGAGUAACGUAUUAUUCCAUUAGAUUUGGAAUGGUUUAACUGGUCUUACAUUUCAUUUCUAACAUGACACCUUUGCCACAGAAGAAUGUGGAACUUUGCUCCUGCUCAGAAAUCUUGAGUUGAUUCAUCUCCACAUUAUAAAUGUAUUUUAAAUAUUUCAGUGAAGCACUUGCUCAAGGCUUCGGCAACAUAUUGCAAUAUGGCUACUAGCAUAAAUGAGAUACACAGAUGUGAGCUCCACCAAAGGUUAAAGAAAGUGGGGAGAUGGUAGGAAAAAUAGCCUCAGCUAAGAUCCUGUACAACUCUUCCAAAGCAAUGCCUGUUCCCUUGCCUAAAUGACUGAACUAGGUAGAAAUAAUAUAAUCUGGGGUUAUAAACAUUUUGUAAUUUUUGAGUCAGAGUAAAUAUUAUAAAAUAAGAAUGCACCAUUGAACUAUGCUAACGGUUAGGGUAAUGUGUUAAUGAUGUGGCUCCAUUCAGUACCCUUAUUUAAUAACUAUAUUCAUUUACACAAUAGAAUCCACAGUCUUAAAACUAGGAAAUAGUUUCCAAAUGUUCUCUUGAGGAGUGAAUUAGAUAUCAGGUUGUGCUUGGAUUAUAUAUUGACACCCAAUAUAAUCACUUCUGUUUCUCUAAAAUUGAGUUCAAAGAUUUAAAUUUUCAAAUUGGCUAAACAAUUCUAAUUCAUGACAUUAGAUUUUCCGAAGCAUGACUGUACCAUAAAAAUUAUGUUAAAAUUAUCCACCAAAAUUUUUCUACUCUAUUGCCAAAAUAGAGUUACCGUUAUGAUAGUCGGGUUAUGUAAGAACAGUAAAUGGGUACACAGUAAUUUUAAUAUUCCUGAUUUUUCUAUCCCCUUCUAAUAUUUUUCUACCCCAAAAUGCAAAAGUGUAUCCUUUUAUCAUAAAAAUAAACAUCAGUCUUGAUUCAGUUUUAUACAGAACACUGAAGUUGACUAUGUAGUCUAGUUUCAGGUGGGAUUGGUAGGACUAGUAGAGGCGGUGGAAAGGACACGCUAUGGAGAGACUCUAUCACAAAGUGCAAGAUAAAAUCUAAAUAUGUCAGAGGGAACUGGGCACCUCCUUGGCAUAACGGCCUAGCGUUCUCAACGGAAGAGAAAAGCACAAGUCCCAACAACAUGCCAUCUAGAUAGAGAGACCCAGAACAGCAAAGCAUUGCUGGGAGAAAAAGAGUUGAGUCUUUUUCCAGUGGUUUCUAUUCCACAUGGAACCCUCCAGAACCCUCCCAGAAAAUCAGAGUGUCUUAGAAAAGCCUAGCUUUUAGCACAGGUAGAUGUGACUAUUCAGCAAUGGGCCCAUCAUUCUGUAAACCAAGCUUUAUGGCUACAGUCAGCUAACAUUCUUUUCAAUAGGCAAAUGAAACACACAAACCACAGAGAAAAAUUCUCUACCUCCUAAAUGAAAUAGUUCCCAGUUUAUUUAUGUCAACUAUGCUACUGACAUAUUAUCCUCACAACACCUUUUUUCAUGAACCCUUUGGCCAAUAGUUUUAUUUAGGUCCCACUUAAAGCCUUUCUCUGAUCAACAAGGGGCAGUGGAGGAGAACAUAGCUAGCCUUAGUGGGAAUCUCGCUUCUAUUUAAAAAAAAAAAUCUUGCUUUUCUUCUCUGUAGCCAGAUAGCUUAGUAGGCUCAAGAGUAAGUGCACAGGUAUGGGUGUGAAGAUGGCUUCCUGUUCCCAGAAGGAAGAGAACCAACAGAGAACCAGAGAUGGAGAUCCUCUUUGAGACCAAACAGUACUCGAGCUGUAAAAGUGGGAGAAUAUCGUCCCUCAAUCUUUUACAGUAGGAUCGGGAUUUCUAGUAAUGAUAAAUAAUGCCAUUUUGUAUAAUGGCUUCAAUACACAUUGUAAAAGAAUUAUUUAUAGAUGAGCAGACUGGAAAGCAGACUUCCUCUGUAUUUGCAUCCAAGCAAGCGCUUGGGAAAGCACUAGUCGUGUUGACACUGGCUGAAGCAGUGGCAUCCAGAGAACAACUGCUUUGCUGCAUGUGAAGCCAUCAUACAUGGUGAGCCUGCCUCCGAAUGGCAAGAGUUUGGGCUCCUGACAGUGGUUCUCCAUUCUCUCAUUAUUUUAAGUUGUGUAAGUUUCACAUUUAACUACCUCAGCUGCUGUUGUUUGACUUCAAAAUACAAAAUCAUCCACUUCACAAUUAACAAAUUAUCCCAUGGCGAAUUUCAAAUGGUUAUUUGGCGCAAAACAAUUUUCAAAAAAAUUUUAAAACACAAGGAACCCAACUCCCGCCAGACUUGCUUUAUUUGUAAUUUUUAAAGCAUGGGUUGGGACUAAGAAAAAGAGUCAUGUCCUACCAACACAAGGAGAUACUGUAUAUAUUUGCUUAAUUUGCCUUAAAUAUUUUGUGCUUUCCCUUUUCCUUUGUCCAGUUUUUGCUUUUUAAAUGUAUCUCUGAACAAAAGAAGAGUAGUAGGUGGUAGAUAAAGACAAACCUGAAGAGAACGGGCCACGAGGUUCUCAGCUCCCCGACGUCAACUGUACAUAGUAUCCUGACACAUAGCCGUCGACAUUCUUGAGUUUCUCUCUCCAUUUCAGAAAAAAAAAGGUGUGUGCAGGCAAUGUGAAAACAUUUCCCCCGGACAGCACGGUGCCUGGCCUCGGGUGCAAACCUGCCAGUCCUGUCUCUCACUUUGUAAACAUUGUACAAAUGUAUUUGGAAUUUUAUUUGAAACAAAAAAAAAAUAAAUGAGUUAUUAAAUUUUUCCUGUAAAUAUAUAUAUAGAUAUAUAGAUAUACAUAUGCCAACCCCACAUAACCGGACCUUCCUUUAGCAUUCAGAUUGUAAGUGUGUCUUUCUUGGUUGGAGGCUGCUGCCCUGGGCAGUAACUCCGAGUGCUAAAGCACAGUGCGUGGAGUAUUCGCUAUACCGCAGUACCAUAGUUAUUUUGGUCAGUUAAGUAAGUUACAAUUUGUGAUGAAAUGAAGUGGAAAGUAGUACUUCAUAUGAAUAAUUUUCCUUGGUUAUUUGACCUUUUUUUCUUGUAAAACUUUAAAAGAAAGAAAACUUGAAAUUUUAUAUAUUUGGAUUUUGUAGAGUUUUUUUUUUAUUUUAUUGCAACACAAGGUACCAAAAUCAUAAAAUAAAGUACACUGUGGUCAUUUUAACAGAA